UACAGAGGGUGCGAGCGUUAAUCAGAAUUACUGGGCGUAAAGGGCGCGUAGGUGGGAGAAUGAGUCGGAUGUGAAAGGCCUGGGCUUAACCUAGGAAUGCCAUCUGAUACUGUUUUUCUAGAGUGGAGUAGAGGGUAGCGGAAUUUCCGGUGUAGCGGUGAAAUGCGUAGAUAUCGGAAGGAACACCCGUGGCGAAGGCGGCUACCUGGACUCUAACUGACACUGAGGCGCGAAAGCGUGGGGAGCGAACAGG
rnacentral:rRNA from 1 species